rnacentral:rRNA from 2 species
UACGGAGGGUGCAAGCGUUGUUCGGAAUUAUUGGGCGUAAAGCGCGUGUAGGCGGCUAUUUAAGUCUGAUGUGAAAGCCCGGGGCUCAACCCCGGAAGUGCAUUGGAAACUGGAUAGCUUGAGUACGGGAGAGGGUAGUGGAAUUUCGAGUGUAGGGGUGAAAUCCGUAGAUAUUCGAAGGAACACCGGUGGCGAAGGCGGCUACCUGGACCGAUACUGACGCUGAUGCACGAAAGCGUGGGGGGGCAAA